CCAUUAAAGUGGUUGUGAUGUG
rnacentral:miRNA from 9 species